GAAUGCUGACAUAAGUAACGAUAAAGCGGGUGAAAAGCCCGCUCGCCGGAAGACCAAGGGUUCCUGUCCAACGUUAAUCGGGGCAGGGUGAGUCGACCCCUAAGGCGAGGCCGAAAGGCGUAGUCGAUGGGAAACAGGUUAAUAUUCCUGUACUUGGUGUUACUGCGAAGGGGGGACGGAGAAGGCUAUGUUGGCCGGGCGACGGUUGUCCCGGUUUAAGCGUGUAGGCUGGUUUUCCAGGCAAAUCCGGAAAAUCAAGGCUGAGGCGUGAUGACGAGGCACUACGGUGCUGAAGCGACAAAUGCCCUGCUUCCAGGAAAAGCCUCUAAGCAUCAGGUAACAUCAAAUCGUACCCCAAACCGACACAGGUGGUCAGGUAGAGAAUACCAAGGCGCUUGAGAGAACUCGGGUGAAGGAACUAGGCAAAAUGGUGCCGUAACUUCGGGAGAAGGCACGCUGAUAUGUAGGUGAAGCGACUUGCUCGUGGAGCUGAAAUCAGUCGAAGAUACCAGCUGGCUGCAACUGUUUAUUAAAAACACAGCACUGUGCAAACACGAAAGUGGACGUAUACGGUGUGACGCCUGCCCGGUGCCGGAAGGUUAAUUGAUGGGGUUAGCGGUAACGCGAAGCUCUUGAUCGAAGCCCCGGUAAACGGCGGCCGUAACUAUAACGGUCCUAAGGUAGCGAAAUUCCUUGUCGGGUAAGUUCCGACCUGCACGAAUGGCGUAAUGAUGGCCAGGCUGUCUCCACCCGAGACUCAGUGAAAUUGAACUCGCUGUGAAGAUGCAGUGUACCCGCGGCAAGACGGAAAGACCCCGUGAACCUUUACUAUAGCUUGACACUGAACAUUGAGCCUUGAUGUGUAGGAUAGGUGGGAGGCUUUGAAGUGUGGACGCCAGUCUGCAUGGAGCCGACCUUGAAAUACCACCCUUUAAUGUUUGAUGUUCUAACGUGGGCCCCUUACCGGGGUUGCGGACAGUGUCUGGUGGGUAGUUUGACUGGGGCGGUCUCCUCCUAAAGAGUAACGGAGGAGCACGAAGGUUGGCUAAUCCUGGUCGGACAUCAGGAGGUUAGUGCAAUGGCAUAAGCCAGCUUGACUGCGAGCGUGACGGCGCGAGCAGGUGCGAAAGCAGGUCAUAGUGAUCCGGUGGUUCUGAAUGGAAGGGCCAUCGCUCAACGGAUAAAAGGUACUCCGGGGAUAACAGGCUGAUACCGCCCAAGAGUUCAUAUCGACGGCGGUGUUUGGCACCUCGAUGUCGGCUCAUCACAUCCUGGGGCUGAAGUAGGUCCCAAGGGUAUGGCUGUUCGCCAUUUAAAGUGGUACGCGAGCUGGGUUUAGAACGUCGUGAGACAGUUCGGUCCCUAUCUGCCGUGGGCGCUGGAGAACUGAGGGGGGCUGCUCCUAGUACGAGAGGACCGGAGUGGACGCAUCACUGGUGUUCGGGUUGUCAUGCCAAU
rnacentral:rRNA from 1 species